rnacentral:rRNA from 1 species
AUAGUUUCUUCUGCUCAAUGUAAAUAGCCGCAGUACUCUGACUGUGCAAAGGUAGCAUAAUCAUUUGGCUUAUAAUUGAAGUCUGGUAUGAAUGAAAUCUGGGCACUUCUGUAUCUGAGUUUUUAUUAACUUACUUAAUGGGUGCAAAUACCCUUAGAUAUAAUAGACGAGAAGACCCUAGAAAUUUGUAAUUUUGUUGGGGCAACAUUGUACUACAAUGUGAAAUUUUUAAUAGUAUAAUAAAUUACUCUAGGGAUAACAGCAUAAUUUUAAAUGUUUGUGACCUCGAUGUUGGAUUAGGUAAAAUUAAGA